rnacentral:tRNA from 1 species
CACUAAGAAGCUAAGGAGAACAGCGCUAGCCUUUUAAGCUAGAGAGCGGUGGCUCACAACCACCCUUAGUGG